rnacentral:tRNA from 1 species
GGCUCCGUGGCGCAAUGGAUAGCGCAUUGGACUUCUAGGCAAAGGCGAAGUGAUUCAAAGGUUGUGGGUUCGAGUCCCACCGGAGUCG